rnacentral:rRNA from 1 species
UGAGGAAUCUUGGACAAUGGGGGCAACCCUGAUCCAGCGACGCCGCGUGAAGGAUGAAGGUCUUCGGAUUGUAAACUUCUUUUGUUGGGGAAUAAAAAAUCUGUGGAAACACGGAGAUUGAAGGUACCCGAUGAAUAAGCCACGGCUAACUUCGUGCCAGCAGCCGCGGUAAUACGAAGGUGGCAAGCGUUACUCGGAAUUACUAGGCGUAAAGGGCAGGUAGGUGGUUCGGUAAGUCUGUUGUGUAAGCUCCUGGCUUAACUGGGAGAGGUCAACGGAAACUACCGGACUUGAGUAUAGGAGAGGUUACUGGAAUUCCCGGUGUAGCGGUGAAAUGCGCAGAGAUCGGGAGGAACACCAAUGGCGAAAGCAGGUAACUGGACUAUUACUGACACUAAGCUGCGAAAGCUAGGGGAGCAAACAGG